GAGCACAGCUGGCACACAAACAGCUGCUGGCCACCGUGCGCCCCCUACCACCACGGGACGCACAUUCAUCGAACAGUCUCCACUCGCAGCACGAUGGCACCAGUCGACGAUGAAGAUCGCGGCAUGCGCAGCGAAACGUCGGACGUCGUGCCGAACCCGGAAAAAAAAACAGGCCUGAGCGUGGAUACAAGUCGGGCUUCGUUUGUAUACCAGGCCACCAGCGCGGAUGUGAUUAAAGAAUUUGGUAGACCAAUUCGUCAACACGGGUGGAAGAAGCAUUGAGUGAAGUUCACGGAAGACCGGAAGAAACACGUGCAGAGCAGUUCGGAGAACUUACACACUUCAUACAGAAAGACGCCACCAUUCGGUAAUCAAACUCAUUGUACCCCUUCCUGCUGUGAGCCACAGGUGUUACAACUACACCACCCGACUUGCCCCCCCUCCCCCCGCGCACUUCUCCCACACCUCCGAUUAGCACGGUUGGCUACGUACGGUAUGAAAGAAGUUCAACAUAUGUACAGUGCAUACAAUGAGCGUGUGUUUAAACUCUCCCUUCGUCUCUGUCCACCCAGCAGAAUAAGUGAGUCGACCAUCGGUAAGCAGGUAUCUGGCGGGGGGGGGGGGGCGGGUAAAGCGUGGAUACUUACAACGUUUUCAGGAUGCCUGGCGGGCGUGCGAAAGUGGGAGACAAGGCAAUUGUAUAGGGAGCUGUGAAGAGCUCCGCAUGUAUGUAUGUAUGUUGAACUUCUUUCGCACCAUACGUCGCCGACCGCGACAAUCAGAGGUGCGGCUGGACAACAAAACCAAACACAAAAGGCGAUUUCAAAGAAAUGAGUUUCCAAUGUUGAUUUAAAAUAACGCCAGUGACUUGUCUGCCAGCGGCGGCAUUAGUUAUAGUUAAUUUAUAUUUAGAAGCAGACACGAAAGGCACAAACGGUGAAACGGAUAAACAGCAAGGCAUCGCUGUGUUACGCGUGCUCCUGUGAAGCCCUCCGGUGCGUUUUCGGGUUGCGCCAUGCCGUCGUUCGGCGCGGUGUCCGACGUUUCGCUGCGCUUUCUCUGCCGUGUGAAGUUGCCGAGGGGCUCCCGGCGCGUGCAGCAGUUGCGGCGAGCUGUGGAUCCACCGUUGCGAUCUCCUCUUAAAAUCCAAUCGCACAUCACUGGACGCGAGAAGAAAUCCUCAUCGGGGCCCUGCUCAACCAAUCACAUCCUAAUUGGCAAAUCUGUUGCUAAGCUCAGCUAAAUCGUUGUCCCCAUUGUCAAGCCCAAGAAACCUAAAAAGGCGUCCAUCGAAUUGCCGUUUAAAUAUCCCGAGAAACAAGAAUCGUUAAAGGUGACGCAGCCUUUGCCAUCGCAGCGUCAUCGUUUCAGAGCAGCAACCUUGCUUUCCUCCCUGAGAAGUGUCAAUCUUCCUUCAAAGAAGUAGAGUGAAGCAGAAGAUCAGCGCUAGAUACAGUCGCAUUUGCAAACGCGAUUUGGAUCUUUGCUCAUAAUCCGUGUGUCGAUAGUUCAAUGUUAAUAUGCCACUCUAUCGAGCGACUGACGCGUGGCGUUAUCAUGGCGUGUUGUGGGACUGUGCUGCUGUUGUUGCUGCCUCCUUGAUAAAGAGGACUUAUAGAAUUAAUGUAUGCAUCACUUAUUUAUGUGUGUUUUAGUGACUUGCUUACCAUUUUCUCAACUUUACACUCCAGUCGUUUUUUUUCUACUUGUUUGUUGUUGUUGUAACUCACUGACCCGCCCCAUACCGGGCACCCGCGGGGAAUAGAAAUAUUCAUAGCUCCAUCGGAUUCCUCCUCGAGACUAAAUAAAGAUUCUGAUUCUGGAUCCUGCACAGAGCUCAGGAACACAGCUGUGUGCAGGUUCCAUCACCGUUCAG